AGAGUUUGAUUCUGGCUCAGGACGAACGCUGGCGGCGUGCCUAACACAUGCAAGUCGAACGGAGAAUUUUAUUUCGGUAGAAUUCUUAGUGGCGAACGGGUGAGUAACGCGUAGGCAACCUACCCUUUAGACGGGGACAACAUUCCGAAAGGAGUGCUAAUACCGGAUGUGAUCAUCGUGCCGCAUGGCAGGAUGAAGAAAGAUGGCCUCUACAAGUAAGCUAUCGCUAAAGGAUGGGCCUGCGUCUGAUUAGCUAGUUGGUAGUGUAACGGACUACCAAGGCGAUGAUCAGUAGCCGGUCUGAGAGGAUGAACGGCCACAUUGGGACUGAGACACGGCCCAAACUCCUACGGGAGGCAGCAGUGGGGAAUCUUCCGCAAUGGACGAAAGUCUGACGGAGCAACGCCGCGUGAGUGAUGAAGGAUUUCGGUCUGUAAAGCUCUGUUGUUUAUGACGAACGUGCAGUGUGUGAACAAUGCAUUGCAAUGACGGUAGUAAACGAGGAAGCCACGGCUAACUACGUGCCAGCAGCCGCGGUAAUACGUAGGUGGCGAGCGUUGUCCGGAAUUAUUGGGCGUAAAGAGCAUGUAGGCGGCUUAAUAAGUCGAGCGUGAAAAUGCGGGGCUCAACCCCGUAUGGCGCUGGAAACUGUUAGGCUUGAGUGCAGGAGAGGAAAGGGGAAUUCCCAGUGUAGCGAUGAAAUGCGUAGAUAUUGGGAGGAACACCAGUGGCGAAGGCGCCUUUCUGGACUGUGUCUGACGCUGAGAUGCGAAAGCCAGGGUAGCGAACGGGAUUAGAUACCCCGGUAGUCCUGGCCGUAAA
rnacentral:rRNA from 1 species